rnacentral:rRNA from 1 species
UGAACGCUGGCGGCGUGCCUAAUACAUGCACGUCGAGCGAACAGACGAGGAGCUUGCUCCUCUGACGUUAGCGGCGGACGGGUGAGUAACACGUGGAUAACCUACCUAUAAGACUGGGAUAACUUCGGGAAACCGGAGCUAAUACCGGAUAAUAUAUUGAACCGCAUGGUUCAAUAGUGAAAGACGGUUUUGCUGUCACUUAUAGAUGGAUCCGCGCCGCAUUAGCUAGUUGGUAAGGUAACGGCUUACCAAGGCAACGAUGCGUAGCCGACCUGAGAGGGUGAUCGGCCACACUGGAACUGAGACACGGUCCAGACUCCUACGGGAGGCAGCAGUAGGGAAUCUUCCGCAAUGGGCGAAAGCCUGACGGAGCAACGCCGCGUGAGUGAUGAAGGUCUUCGGAUCGUAAAACUCUGUUAUUAGGGAAGAACAAAUGUGUAAGUAACUAUGCACGUCUUGACGGUACCUAAUCAGAAAGCCACGGCUAACUACGUG